GCUCCAAGAAGGUGAGGCUGCUGGGAUGGGUGACUCCGCCGUCACUGCAAACACGGGACGUCCCGUCUACUCCCUUACGCCUGCUUGGUCUGAGCCCGAGUCUACCUCUUCUCUAAGUCGCCAGCUCGGCACUUGUACCCGGGACCUGUGCUCCUCCCACAAGAAAUUAAAUCAUUUUUGGGAAGCCCUCAAGGUACCAUAAGCUCUGGGCAGUGUGCCUAAGACUUCUAAUGGAGAAUUUAGCCCUGUGCAGAUGAUAUUGCAGAGGAGGAAUGCUUAGUUAAUUUAGUUCCAGGAUACCUGUGCAGGACAUGACAUGCAGGUUUGUCAUGUAGGUAAACAUGUGCCAUGGUGGUUUGCUGCACCUGUCGACCCAUCACCUAGGUAUUAAGCCCCACAUGCAUUAGCUAUUUUUCCUGAUGUUCUCCCUCCCUCCACCCCCUUGACAGGCCACAGUGUGUGUUGUUCCCCUCCCUGUGUCCAUGAGUUCUCAUUGUUCAGCUCCCACUUAUAAGUGAGAACAUGUGACGUUUGGCUUUCUGUUCCUGUGUUAGUCUGUGGAGGAUAUUGGCUUCCAGCUCCAACCAUGUCUCUGCAAAGGACAUGAUCUCAUUCCUUUUUAUGGCUGCAUAGUAUUCCAUGGUGUAUAUGUACCAGCAGUUAGUUCUUAAAUUAAAAAAAAAAGCUUUCAUAUUUAAUCAAGUUAGGUUAUUUCAAUAUAUGCACCAUAAUGAUUAUUGUAAAGUAAGUUCUGUAAACUAAGGAAAAAUAACUAUUUUGUGCAAUCUCAGAAAAAUCUACUAGAUGGUAUGGGAAACAAGAAAGAGAAAUGAAGAGGCAAAUAAAAACAUGGCAUUUAUUGAGUAGCUGUAUGCUGGGAGAUUUGAACAUUCUCCUUUCCUUUCCCCUAAUUUUACGUACAGAGAAGUAACUUCUUGAAGGUUGUAUGUUCCAGCUUGCAACUAGCCAUGUUGGAUUUAGAAACAGGUCAAAGUCAAGUUCCAUGCUUUCUUCCUGUCUCAUGAUAGCAUUCUCUCCCAUUCUCUACCUGCACAUAUAUAUUUCAUAAAACUAGAAAGAGGACUCCACUAUAUUUUACAUCAUUUCUUCAAAUGAAGAAGAGAUCUGAGUUCUUCAUACCUUCAACAUGUACUUACAUUCCAGGAAUUUAACUAUCCGUAAGAAGGAAAAAAUUGGACACGGAGAUAAGGACAGAGGAAAGAUGAUGUGAAGACAGGGGCAGAAGUCAGCCAUCUACAAGUCAAAGGGAGACAUGUGGAACAGAUUCACCCUCACAGCCCUCAGAUGGAAGCAACACCACUAACACUUUGCUCUUGGACUUCUAGCUUCCAGAACUGAGAGACAAUAUCUUUCUGUUGCUUAAGUCAUUCUGUCUGUGAUACUGUGUUUAUGGCAGCCCUGGCAAACUAAUACAGUCCCACAAAGAUUUGGUUGUUGCUUUGCAAGAGAAUGUAUAAUUCCUGGUUAUUUCUACAAAUAAGGGCAUUGACUUUAUAAAGCUACAAGUAUACCCCAGUAUUCUGUUUCUGGUUUUUGUUUACUUUCAUAUAUGCUAUCUUUUCAUUCCCAGGUGAAAUCAUAGUGCAUUUUAAAUGAUAUUUUAAAGAGCAAUUAUACUCGUCAUAUGUACUUCAAAUAAUACUGAUUCCUCAAUUGAAGUAAUGGUAACAUGAGUGUAUUAGUUAAUUUUUUCUGAAUAACUAGUUACCUCCAAAGUUCAUGCCUUCAAGCAACACAUAUUCAUUAUUUCACAGCUUCUUUGGGUCAGGAGUCUUGGCAUAGCUUAGCUGAGUCCUCUGGCUCCUGGCGUCCCAGGCUGUAAUCAAGGUGGUGGCCAGGACUGUAGUCAUGUCAGGGCUCGCCAGGGAAGGAUCUGCCUCCAAGCUAACCAGUGUGGCUUUUGGCAGAAUAUAUUUCUAUGCAGGUUGUUGGACUGAGUUUCUUGCUGGCUGUUCCAGAGGUUCCCUUAGCAUCUUGUCGUGUGGCCUCUUCAUAGGUCAAUUCAUAUUGGCUUCAUCAAAGUGAGCAGGUAAGAUAGCAAAAGAGAAUGCCCAAGAUAGAAGCCAUAGUCUUUUUGUAAUCUAAUCUUAGAAGUGACAGCCUGUUAUAUUUGCUAUAUUCUCUUUGUUAGAAACAAGUUUCUAGGGCUGGGCAUGGUGGCUCACAUCUGUAAUCCCAGCAUUUUGGGAGGCCGAGACAGGCAGAUCACCUGAGGUCAGGAGUUCGAGACCAGCCUGGCCAACAUGGCGAAAUCCUGUCUCUACUAAAAAUACAAAGCCGAGUGUGGUGGCGCAGGCCUGUAAUCCCAGCUACUUGGGAGGCUAAGGCAGGAGAAGCACUUGAACCUGGGUGGUGGAGGUUGCAGUGAGCCAAGAUUGUGCCACUGCACUCCAGCCUGGGUGACAGAGUGAGACUCCAUCUCAAAAAACAAACAAACAAAAAACCAAAUUACUAGGUUUGUCUCAUUCUCAAGGGAAGAGUUUACUCAAGAGAAUAAAUACCAGGAGGUUGGGAUCACUGGAGGCCAGUUUAGAGUCUGCCUACCAAUAGGAGCAAGGCCAUCAAUGUCAGUCAGUGACAUCAACAUCAUGUAGACUGCUUGGCCAACAGUAAUGCUAAAAUGCCAUCAAUCUUGAGAUCAUCUUCAUCUCAUAAAUAUUAACAUGUAAAAAAAGUCAUUUUAAAGUAAAGAAAAUAUGUUAUUUUUUAACAUUUGAAACAGCCCCUGAAGUCAUGUUUUAGAACAUUUUCUCAUCAUUUUUUGUGUGACUUUUAUAAUAUCUUUUAUAUUAUAUGUUAUAAUAGGGAAUAAAGAAAGUAAAAUAACUCCAAAUCAAAUUUUGAGCACUUACCAAUUAUUAAAUCAUUUAAACAGUCAGGAAAUGGAUACUACUGUGUUCUAGAAAUGGGUACCAACUCUCAAAAUGUUUCACAUACUCAUGGAAAUAACAUGGCUUUAAUGGAAGGGCUUAGGGAGUUCUGCUUCAAGCUGGCUGAUCAGAAAAAGGAGAAGCCUCAGAAAGGAAGUGGGAUCUGUACAUGCACCCAGGAAGCACAGCUUUAGUGUCAAUGGAGAAGUUUCGAAUAGCAAAAUUCUCCACUGAACUUGCUGAAAGCACGAGAGGAGAAAGAAGCAUUUGCAGGCCCAGAUGAUACCUAAGAGAGGACUGUGCAUUGCUUUUCAACCUCCACAUGUCAGUACUCAAGGGAUAAGCUGAAUUUUAAAAAUUUACUUUUGUAUUUGUUUCAUUGUAUAUUACUACCUGUUCACUAUAGCUAAUUGGGAAACUUACAAAAAUUAGAAAUAAUAAGAUUCCUCUUUCCCCAAAGUCACCACUAUCCUGAAUUUUAAAACUAGAGCUUACUUUUGCAAUCUUGACACUUUAUUUCACUACCGUCAUAUAGUAUCCUUCUGUGUCUCAGUCCUUUUUCUUUUUUUGACAUUGUUAUGAAGUUCAUCCAUGUUGUUGCAUGGGCUAAGGCUCAUUUUUAUUGCUGAAUAAUGUCAUAUUGUAUGAAUGUACUAAAUAUUCUUAGUCAUCCUUCUGUUGAGGGUAUUUGUGCUGUUUCCAGUUAGGACUUUCACAAAUCAUGGUUUCAUGAACAUUCUUUGUGAUGGCUAAUAUCAGGUGUCAACUUGAUUAGAUUGAGGGAUGCCUAGAUGGCUGGUCAUUGUUUCUGGGUGUGUCUGUGAGGGUGUUGCCAGAGGAGAUUGAUAUUUGAGUCAGUGGACUGGGAGAGGAAGAUCUCAUGCUCCUCAAUGUGAGUGGGAACCAUCCAAUCCAUGGCCAGCAGUCCUCUCUCAGACAAAAACAAAGCAGGUGGAAGAAGGUGGGAUAAGUUGGCUUGCUGAGUCUUCUGGCUUUCAUCUUUCUCCUGUGCUGGAUCGUUUUUGUCCUUGGACAUCAGACUCCAUGUUCUUCCGCCGUUGGACUCUUGGACUUACAGCAGUAGUUUUGCUGGGGGCUUUUGGGCCUUUGGCCACAGACUGAAAACUGCACUGUCAGCUUCUUUGGUUUUGAGGCUUUUGGACUCAGACUGAGGCACUAUUGGCUUCUUUCUUCCCCAGUUUGCAGAAGUCAUAUUGUGGACUUUGCCUUGUGAUCGUGUGAGCCAAUUCUUCCUAAUAAACUCUCUUUCAUAUAUACAUAUAUCCUAUUAGUUCUGUUCCUCCAGAGAACCCUGACUAAUAUACUCAUAGAUAUGCUUUUUGGUACACGAUUUCAAGCAUAUAUUUGGUGUAAACCUAAGAGUGAGAUUGUCACAUCACAGGACUUUCAAAUGCUCAACUUGAAUGGUUAAUGUUGAACUGCUUUCCAAAGAAGUGAGGCCAACUCAUACCCUACCAGUCAUGUUUCUCUGUUUUUUUUUCAAAGAUUUUGGUAGUAUCAGUCUUUGCAAUAUUAGCCAUUUUGUUGAGUAGGUAGUAGUGUGUCAUUUUGGUUUUCACUGGAUUUUGUGAUGACAAAUGAAGUUGAACACUUUUACUUAGCUAUACUUUCAGUUUAGUUUACUUGUAAUUAGUUACAGUGUUUAAUGGCUGUUUGGGUCUCUUCUUUCAUGAAGUGCCUAUUCUUGUCUUUUGCCUAUUGUUUCCUAUUGGCUUGUUUGCAUUUUUGUUAGUGAUUUCUAAAAAGUCUCUAUAUAUUUGGGAUAAGUGGCUGUGACUCAGUUUUAUAACGUAUAAAAUAGAAAUAAUAAUGCUCCCCACAUAUGACAUUGUUAUGAGGAGUGUAUUAGUUAAUACACAGAAAAGCUUCAAGCCAAAUGUGGCACAGAGUAAGUGCUCAGUAUUAUUGUGCUUAGCCGAAAGAACACUGCUAAGAACUGUGGACACAGAAAUCCAAAGAGGCCUUCUAACUUCCAUUCAACACAUUUUGCCUUGCACAACAACUUCUCAGAAGUUCUGAAACUCACUAUACUUGCCCCUAAUUGUGCCCCAGUACUAGCUUUAGUGAGAAGUACUGUGAUAAUUUUGUUACAAUCCCAACACUAUUUUUUAAAAUUGUAUUUUUCCUUGUAGAAGAAGGCAGUUUUCAAGCUGCAAAUUGAUAGGGAAGCACUUAUUCUCACAGGCACUGCAUGGUACAAUUGGCAUUUAGCAUGUUCAUUGCAAAAGUUUUAAAAGAAUAGCACUGCAGCAGGAGAAAGAGGAAGACAACGACAAUAACAACAACAACAAAGCAAAGUAAAAACUACUCCCUGAAUGCAGAAAUAAAAUGUAUUAAAAAUUAAAGGGUGCACAAUGGGAGCAAUUAAGUGUUUUAGGCCAAGUGCCCAUUCUUGCCUCAUCCAAAUUCCCUUGGUUCACUGGCCACAUUUAAGAAAAAAGGGACAAUUUUUAUCUUCUGCCCUAGUGAAAAUUGUUUUGCUCCCAGUAGCCAGACAAUAAAAAUUUCCUAUAAACAAAUAAACACACUUUAAUCACCGUGGUUAUUCUCCUUCUAUCAGUGGAAUUUUCACAGAUAAAGUUUGUUGAGGAGGAUAGAAAAACCACAAUUUAGGCCUUUGAAACCAAAAAUGACAGAAAAAUCUUUCAUUUAUUAUUCCUCGUGGACAAUAGCUCUUAAUAUCUUCCUUCUAGGUUUCUUAAUUAAAUUCAGCUUCUUAUAUUUUUCUCUUGAUUCACCCACUUUCAUUCCCAGAUUAACCUAGAUCUUCAUAACUAUAAUUUCUCAACUGUAAAAUUUCAUUUACCUCAUUUAAAUUUCUGUAGAUUUCUCUCCCCAAGUGGAAAGUUUGAUUAUUCACUCUUUCACCUUUCUCCCCAGGCAAUAAAACUAUGCUGCUUAGACUAGUGCUAACUGAUUUAUAAACAGUCAAAUAAAUUGCAUUAUUCUGUAUAAUUCAUAUAUGUGUGAAUAUAGAGUGACUUUAGAAAGUGACAGUGAUAGUCCUAGCCUGUGAAGAAUGGCCACCAUCUUCAAAGAUCCUUCUGAAGCGUUAUCUUUUCCACACAAUCUCUGAUUUCUUCUUGGGGAAAGGACUAGUUUUCUCUUUCAAAUCCCCCAGCAUGUCUCCAAGGGCAUUAUAGUUGAUUAGUUCAUUUUUUCCUGAUCAUCUGCUCCCUGCAUCUCCAUAGAGGAUGAGACAUACCUGCCUCUUGCUAUAUGACUUUCAGUGGCCCCCUGUGCUUUUCUGUCACUGGUGCCAGGCUUGGCCAAGUGACAUUCUUCAGUCAACGGAAGGGGAGCAGAUUAGUUCCUUCUGAGAGGAAGUUUUCAAAGGCAUUAUAAGUUUUUACCAGCUUCAUUGCUCUUUUCCUGUGCCAAGUUCCUUCGGCUUGGUCCCAAGAAUGAGAAGGCACAUGGAACCAUGGGACCUGAGCUGUGGCCUCCUACAUGUGACAUGAGCAAGAAAGAAAUAUCUGAGGUUUGGGGGUCAUUGGUUACUUCAGCACUUAGCACUUUAUUGAAAUUGUUUGUUUGUUUGUCUUAUUCAAGGUGCAUUCAGGAAAUGCAUCUUCUUCGUUGGAUGUCUGCAUAGUCUGGAGCUUGGCAGUUGGUGGGAGCUAAUAAAUGUUUGUGGAAUAAGUGAAUGAUUCAAUGAAGAUCUCCAAUGAGAAGCAUCUAUUAUCUGCCAUGGCAAUUGUGCUGACUGGAGAAUGUUUCUUACCCUGAGCAGAAAUUGAAUCCUCCUGUACUUCCACUAUGGGUUUUAGUUAUAUCCCUUAGGCUCCUAUAAAACCGUCUAAUUCCUCAUCCAUAUGACAGCCCUCUAAUGCCUGAAAGCAGUGCUACUAUUCAUCUUAGGAUUUUAUCUUUGCAGAAUAGGUAUUCCCAGUCCUUAUCCAUUUUGGUAUCUCCCAUGGUUUUAAUGUCCUUGGUUUCCUGGGGGUCCUCUUUGCAGGUGCUCUUGAUGCAUGUCUCUCUUAGCACAUGGGAUCUGCAAUUAGCAUCAUUAUCCAUGUGUGGUCAGAGUAGCACAGGGUGAGGAAAGAGUGUCUCCUCCCUCUGUCUAGACAAAUUAUACUGAGUCUAACACAGCCUCCAGUUGCCUUCACUGGUCUUGGCAGCCCCAUCAUGCUGCUGACCCAUGUGGAGUCAACCAAAUCCCUUAAGUCUUUUCCAGGAGCCUUUAUUGUCAAGCUCUGCCUCAACUUGUGCAGGUGGUUUGGGGAAUCCAAAUGUAGAUCUUUAUACUUUUCCCUGUUUGCCUACUCCCCUCAUUUCAUCUAGUUACUGAUUUCUGUCUACAGUAUUUUGGGAAAUGAAGGCUUUGGUUUCUGGGAAAGGAAAUGCAGCAGGUAGUCCACACAAAGGAGAAACAACUGUGUCUUGUUAAUCCUGGUAUGGCUAGAGAGCUCCAUUUUCAGGUUCUGCAAUGUAUACUUCACUAUGUGAGGUAGCUCAUUUCUAGUACUGUACUGUCUUUGCUUGGUUUCUCAGGGGGAAUAGAAGAGUAGCAUCAAUAGCACACACCAACAAGAAGCUCUAUGUGUGACAUAUAGACUGACUGUAAGGUGUUCCCCAUAACCCCUGCUUCCCGGUAAUCAUGCUCUUUGAUUAUCCCCUUGGCUUGAGUAUAGACAUGUCCUGUAACUUGCUUCUAUCCAAUGGAAUAUGGCAAAGCCAAUGGGAUAUAUGUGAUUGCAUGUACAUAAUUAUAUUUGGUGUGAUUGUAACAUUGCUUCCUUGCUGGCUGUGAGGAGCAAGGUUCUAGGCUGUGAUCUGUUCCCUGGGAAGAGGCCACAUAGUCAGAAACUGAGGGCAACUUCUAGCUGACAGCUAGCAAGAAGCUAAGGCCCUCAACCUGACAGCUUGCCAGAAACAGGAUGCUAUCAACAACCAAAUGGGCCUGGAAAAUGAUGCUUUCCCAGUCCACCCUUGAAGUGAGGUUGCAGCACUGGCUGAUGCCUUGAUUGCAGCUUCCAGAUGAGACUCUGAGGCAGAUGAUUCAACAAAGCCAGGCCCGACUCCUGAUCCAUGGAAACUGUGAUAUA
rnacentral:lncRNA from 10 species